AGUCGAACGAGAUCUUCGGAUCUAGUGGCGCACGGGUGCGUAACGCGUGGGAAUCUGCCCUUGGGUUCGGAAUAACAGUUGGAAACGGCUGCUAAUACCGGAUGAUGACGUAAGUCCAAAGAUUUAUCGCCCAAGGAUGAGCCCGCGUAGGAUUAGCUAGUUGGUAAGGUAAAGGCUUACCAAGGCGACGAUCCUUAGCUGGUCUGAGAGGAUGAUCAGCCACACUGGGACUGAGACACGGCCCAGACUCCUACGGGAGGCAGCAGUAGGGAAUAUUGGACAAUGGGGGCAACCCUGAUCCAGCAAUGCCGCGUGAGUGAUGAAGGCCUUAGGGUUGUAAAGCUCUUUUACCCGGGAUGAUAAUGACAGUACCGGGAGAAUAAGCCCCGGCUAACUCCGUGCCAGCAGCCGCG
rnacentral:rRNA from 1 species